CCGGUGGCGAAGGCGGCCCCCUGGACGAAGACUGACGCUCAGGUGCGAAAGCGUGGGGAGCAAACAGGAUUAGAUACCCUGGUAGUCCACGCCGUAAACGAUGUCGACUUGGAGGUUGUGCCCUUGAGGCGUGGCUUCCGGAGCUAACGCGUUAAGUCGACCGCCUGGGGAGUACGGCCGCAAGGUUAAAACUCAAAUGAAUUGACGGGGGCCCGCACAAGCGGUGGAGCAUGUGGUUUAAUUCGAUGCAACGCGAAGAACCUUACCUGGUCUUGACAUCCACGGAAGUUUUCAGAGAUGAGAAUGUGCCUUCGGGAACCGUGAGACAGGUGCUGCAUGGCUGUCGUCAGCUCGUGUUGUGAAAUGUUGGGUUAAGUCCCGCAACGAGCGCAACCCUUAUCCUUUGUUGCCAGCGGUCCGGCCGGGAACUCAAAGGAGACUGCCAGUGAUAAACUGGAGGAAGGUGGGGAUGACGUCAAGUCAUCAUGGCCCUUACGACCAGGGCUACACACGUGCUACAAUGGCGCAUACAAAGAGAAGCGACCUCGCGAGAGCAAGCGGACCUCAUAAAGUGCGUCGUAGUCCGGAUUGGAGUCUGCAACUCGACUCCAUGAAGUCGGAAUCGCUAGUAAUCGUGGAUCAGAAUGCCACGGUGAAUACGUUCCCGGGCCUUGUACACACCGCCCGUCACACCAUGGGAGUGGGUUGCAAAAGAAGUAGGUAGCUUAACCUUCGGGAGGGCGCUUACCACUUUGUGAUUCAUGACUGGGGUGAAGUCGUAACAAGGUAACCGUAGGGGAACCUGCGGUUGGAUCACCUCCUUACCUUAAAGAAGC
rnacentral:rRNA from 1 species